GCCGGAAGCUAACAGGAAGUUAGCGAGGUUACCGGGAAGUUAGCUAACAAGAAAUUAGCCAGGCUACCUACCCUGGAGAAAGUUGGCAGAAUUCAAAGACUCACCCUGCACCACAAGAGUAGCCAGAGAGGCGGCGCUGCCCACGCUGCUGGAUGCAUGGCACACAUAUUGUCCCGAGUCUUCCGCGGUCAAGCUGUCCAAGACCAGACUGCACGUGCCAGAGCGCUCGGCCGUGAUGAUGUGACGAGGAUCGUCUUCCAAAGGCCGGACAAACCCAUCCCUGGCGAGCAGGGUUGGUUUUGGUGGGUUUGGUCCUCACCAGCCAUUUGUCUGGAUGGACAGAGUCCAGGACCUCCACAUAUUGACCCUCCUUCAGAAGAAAACUGUCCUUACUUCCACUGUUGGGGUUGCAGUCUGCUCGAGCCACGUACAUUUCAAAAGUCUGCAGAGUAAAAAGGUGAAUAUUUUAAGGGUAGAAAAUACACAGUAUUGUGUUUAUAUGGUACACAGAUUGCUGAGUCAAGCAUUCACACUAGUGACUCAUUGACUACA